UCUCUCCCCCAGGGUGCCCAGCGACAGGUCGACGGGCUCCGUGUAGAUCAGCUCCAGGAUGAGAUCCUGGGCGUGGCGGAACACCAGCUCCCCUUCCUCUACGCUGCAGGUCAGGAACUUGUUGCAAGCAAGGUCAGCAGGGAGCCGGUCCCGGCAGAAGCGGUCGCCCGGGGAGCCCUUGGGGGCCAGCACCAGAAUGGCGUAGUGGUAGGCCGUGUACAUGCAGUAGAAGUCCGCAAAGUAGAGGUUGGUGCUGGGGUUGAAGAGGCGCUGGGCGGGAAUCUGGAAGCGCCAGCGACCGUAGGGGGAGUCCUGGGGGGGCUGACCGGUGUUGAACUCGGUGUGCAGCUGAAGAAGACCCCGUGGAGCAUGCCGCUGUGGGAGAUCCGUGGCUGCCACUGUUGUCCUUCAAAUAGGGUUGCAGCAUGUUUCCGCAAAAUCCCCCAGCCCAGGGAGCACGGGGAGUUGAGCUGGACGAGUUUGGAGGUGAAUAGGACGGAACACGACUCCCAGAAGGUUUGGGGACCGGAUGGGGAGGCCAGCCAGGCCGACGACCUGGGCCUUCUUGGAAAGCUGGGAAGCGGGGAUCAGGUCGGGAACUGGGGCGGGGGGGUGUCUAGUUUUCUCUUGAGGGAGGGAAUGAGUCGGGAACUUUGGAUCGUUGGAUUUUGGCCCAAAUGGGCUGUGGCAGAGAGACUCUGGACAUCUUGGUUCUCACUGUAGAAGGUUCAUUCUGUCAGUAACAACAGUAAUAAUUGAGCACCUCUUGUGUGUGAUCUAGAUGCUUGGGAAACGGACAAAUCCCUGUUCUCCUUCCCUGUAAGGCCGUGAGCCUCAGGGACGUGGGGACGGUGACCGACUUGCUUAUCUUCUCUCUACCUCAGCGCUCAGCACAGUAAGCGAUCAACAAAUGUCUUUAUUAUUAUCGUAAUUUUUUAUCCUUAUUAUUGUCAGCCCUGCCAUCUGGUAAACAGAUAUAAAUUGAUGAAUGACCAGGAAGUGUGCGUGUGCAUGUGUUUGGGGGAUGUUAAUUAAACAAUCAAGCAAUGGUAUUUAUUGAGCGCUUCGUGUGUGCAGAGCACUGAACUAAUAGCCUGGAAAACUCUACCGCAGAGUCGGUAGACACAAUCCUCGCCCGUAAGGAUCUCACUGUCUACAGG
rnacentral:lncRNA from 1 species